CCUCGGCUUCAUUUAACUAAUGAGCAAUUAUCAAGAGCUUGGCCGUAAUUCAUUAUUUUCAAAAUACUAAAAGUCCCUUAUGUGUGUCAAUUUCUUUGAGUAUUUCCAUCGAAUUGACAUUUUCAAGGGAUGCCAUAUGUUAACAAGUCCCUUCUUAAUUUAUCUUGCACUACUUUGACUCCUCUACCCUAGUCUCAAGCUUCUUUCAUAGCAUCUUCAUCUCUU
rnacentral:lncRNA from 1 species